GAUGAAGAACGCAGCGAAAUGCGAUAAGUAAUGUGAAUUGCAGAAUUCAGUGAACCAUCGAAUCUUUGAACGCACAUUGCGCCCGGCAGUAAUCUGCCGGGCAUGCCUGUCCGAGCGUCAUUUCUCCCCUCGAGCGCAGCUUUCCCCCCCGGGGAGGGCCGCGCCCGGUGUUGGGGCGCUACGGAGGAGCCCAGCGCUCCCCCGUAGGCCCCGAAAUGUAGUGGCGGUCCCGCCGCGGCGCCCCCUGCGUUGUAGUUUUACAACUCGCAUCGGGUCCCGGCGGAGGCCAGCCGUCAAACCCCCCAACUUCAAUAGUUUGACCUCGGAUCAGGUAGGGUUACCCGCUGAACUUAAGCAUAUCAAUAAGCGGAGGA
rnacentral:misc_RNA from 1 species